GGGUUGUGAGGUUAAGCGACUAAGCGUACACGGUGGAUGCCCUGGCAGUCAGAGGCGAUGAAGGACGUGCUAAUCUGCGAUAAGCGUCGGUGAGGUGAUAUGAACCGUUAUAACCGGCGAUUUCCGAAUGGGGAAACCCAGUGUGUUUCGACACACUAUCAUUAACUGAAUCCAUAGGUUAAUGAGGCGAACCGGGGGAACUGAAACAUCUAAGUACCCCGAGGAAAAGAAAUCAACCGAGAUUCCCCCAGUAGCGGCGAGCGAACGGGGAGCAGCCCAGAGCCUGAAUCAGUGUGUGUGUUAGUGGAAGCGUCUGGAAAGGCGUGCGAUACAGGGUGACAGCCCCGUACACAAAAAUGCACAUACUGUGAGCUCGAUGAGUAGGGCGGGACACGUGGUAUCCUGUCUGAAUAUGGGGGGACCAUCCUCCAAGGCUAAAUACUCCUGACUGACCGAUAGUGAACCAGUACCGUGAGGGAAAGGCGAAAAGAACCCCGGCGAGGGGAGUGAAAAAGAACCUGAAACCGUGUACGUACAAGCAGUGGGAGCCUCUUAAUGGGGUGACUGCGUACCUUUUGUAUAAUGGGUCAGCGACUUAUAUUCUGUAGCAAGGUUAACCGAAUAGGGGAGCCGAAGGGAAACCGAGUCUUAACUGGGCGUUAAGUUGCAGGGUAUAGACCCGAAACCCGGUGAUCUAGCCAUGGGCAGGUUGAAGGUUGGGUAACACUAACUGGAGGACCGAACCGACUAAUGUUGAAAAAUUAGCGGAUGACUUGUGGCUGGGGGUGAAAGGCCAAUCAAACCGGGAGAUAGCUGGUUCUCCCCGAAAGCUAUUUAGGUAGCGCCUCGUGAAUUCAUCUCCGGGGGUAGAGCACUGUUUCGGCAAGGGGGUCAUCCCGACUUACCAACCCGAUGCAAACUGCGAAUACCGGAGAAUGUUAUCACGGGAGACACACGGCGGGUGCUAACGUCCGUCGUGAAGAGGGAAACAACCCAGACCGCCAGCUAAGGUCCCAAAGUCAUGGUUAAGUGGGAAACGAUGUGGGAAGGCCCAGACAGCCAGGAUGUUGGCUUAGAAGCAGCCAUCAUUUAAAGAAAGCGUAAUAGCUCACUGGUCGAGUCGGCCUGCGCGGAAGAUGUAACGGGGCUAAACCAUGCACCGAAGCUGCGGCAGCGACACUAUGUGUUGUUGGGUAGGGGAGCGUUCUGUAAGCCUGCGAAGGUGUACUGUGAGGUAUGCUGGAGGUAUCAGAAGUGCGAAUGCUGACAUAAGUAACGAUAAAGCGGGUGAAAAGCCCGCUCGCCGGAAGACCAAGGGUUCCUGUCCAACGUUAAUCGGGGCAGGGUGAGUCGACCCCUAAGGCGAGGCCGAAAGGCGUAGUCGAUGGGAAACAGGUUAAUAUUCCUGUACUUGGUGUUACUGCGAAGGGGGGACGGAGAAGGCUAUGUUGGCCGGGCGACGGUUGUCCCGGUUUAAGCGUGUAGGCUGAUUUUCCAGGCAAAUCCGGAAAAUCAAGGCUGAGGCGUGAUGACGAGGCACUACGGUGCUGAAGCAACAAAUGCCCUGCUUCCAGGAAAAGCCUCUAAGCAUCAGGUAACAUCAAAUCGUACCCCAAACCGACACAGGUGGUCAGGUAGAGAAUACCAAGGCGCUUGAGAGAACUCGGGUGAAGGAACUAGGCAAAAUGGUGCCGUAACUUCGGGAGAAGGCACGCUGAUAUGUAGGUGAAGUCCCUCGCGGAUGGAGCUGAAAUCAGUCGAAGAUACCAGCUGGCUGCAACUGUUUAUUAAAAACACAGCACUGUGCAAACACGAAAGUGGACGUAUACGGUGUGACGCCUGCCCGGUGCCGGAAGGUUAAUUGAUGGGGUUAGCGGUAACGCGAAGCUCUUGAUCGAAGCCCCGGUAAACGGCGGCCGUAACUAUAACGGUCCUAAGGUAGCGAAAUUCCUUGUCGGGUAAGUUCCGACCUGCACGAAUGGCGUAAUGAUGGCCAGGCUGUCUCCACCCGAGACUCAGUGAAAUUGAACUCGCUGUGAAGAUGCAGUGUACCCGCGGCAAGACGGAAAGACCCCGUGAACCUUUACUAUAGCUUGACACUGAACAUUGAGCCUUGAUGUGUAGGAUAGGUGGGAGGCUUUGAAGUGUGGACGCCAGUCUGCAUGGAGCCGGCCUUGAAAUACCACCCUUUAAUGUUUGAUGUUCUAACGUUGGCCCCUGAUCGGGGUUGCGGACAGUGUCUGGUGGGUAGUUUGACUGGGGCGGUCUCCUCCUAAAGAGUAACGGAGGAGCACGAAGGUUGGCUAAUCCUGGUCGGACAUCAGGAGGUUAGUGCAAUGGCAUAAGCCAGCUUGACUGCGAGCGUGACGGCGCGAGCAGGUGCGAAAGCAGGUCAUAGUGAUCCGGUGGUUCUGAAUGGAAGGGCCAUCGCUCAACGGAUAAAAGGUACUCCGGGGAUAACAGGCUGAUACCGCCCAAGAGUUCAUAUCGACGGCGGUGUUUGGCACCUCGAUGUCGGCUCAUCACAUCCUGGGGCUGAAGUAGGUCCCAAGGGUAUGGCUGUUCGCCAUUUAAAGUGGUACGCGAGCUGGGUUUAGAACGUCGUGAGACAGUUCGGUCCCUAUCUGCCGUGGGCGCUGGAGAACUGAGGGGGGCUGCUCCUAGUACGAGAGGACCGGAGUGGACGCAUCACUGGUGUUCGGGUUGUCAUGCCAAUGGCACUGCCCGGUAGCUAAAUGCGGAAGAGAUAAGUGCUGAAAGCAUCUAAGCACGAAACUUGCCCCGAGAUGAGUUCUCCCUGACUCUUUAAGGGUCCUGAAGGAACGUUGAAGACGACGACGUUGAUAGGCCGGGUGUGUAAGCGCAGCGAUGCGUUGAGCUAACCGGUACUAAUGAACCGUGAGGCUUAACCUUACAACGCCGAAG
rnacentral:rRNA from 1 species